UGGCUGUGCUGUGUAUUUGCUGUGUGGCCUUGGGCAAGCUACUGACUUCUCUGAAUUCAGGAUCUACAAACUGAGGCACGACACCUCGGCCGCAGUCACUUCCGCUACGCUUCACGUCACUACUGUUACGCCUCGCAUCACUUCGCUCGUCACUUCCGGUGCAGCUGCGUCACUUCCGCUAGGCACAGCAAGGAAGCAGGGAGAAGAGCUAACGUUUUUAUUUAAAGGACGGGAACAGGAAGUGGCUUCUUUUUCAGUGGCCUGUGGGCGUUUCCUUUGCCUGGAGGAGUGUGUGGCAUCAUCCAGACUGAGUGUUGCUGAAAUCCCUCACCGUGCUUGACACAAGUGCCAAUAAUGCCACAGUAACAUCUGCCUGGGUUCUGGCAUCUAGCGAGAGUGGGAUUGAAUCCCAGCUCUGCCACUUUAGCCAUGUGAGCUUGAGCCAGUGACUUAGCAAUAUAAGCCUUAGUUUCCAUGUCUGUAAAAUGGGAAUAGCAAUAUUUCCCAAUUCUUAGGGCUUUUG